rnacentral:tRNA from 1 species
GCGCCGGUAAGCUAAUUGGUAAACUACCGCGCUCCAAACGCGGCGUUGCAGGUUCGAAUCCUGCCCGGCGUG